rnacentral:lncRNA from 1 species
UUUCUCAGCUAUUGAACUCUUUAAACAUAUCCAAGGAAAAUUUGGAUGUAAAGUUAAAGUUUCAAGAAUGCUGCAAUGAAGAAAAAAAUAAUGAAAAUGGAAAAUUAACACGUAAUGGAUUUGCAGAAUUUUUCAAGUUCUUUUCUUUUGAUAAAAAUGAAGUUUCUAGCAUAAUCAAGGAGUAUGGAAGAACUAUUUUUGGAAAAACUUGUUUAAAUGCAGAAUCUUUGCAGAAAUAUUUUAGAGAAGUA